AUGCAGACAUCAUGCUUCUUAGGUUCAAUUAUAUUGUUGUAUGUUUUGUGCUUAAGAGUGCAAUUUUUAGCCUCCUUAGCCAGGCACCUUGGAAAGGAUGGAAAGGAUUCUGGUGGAAGGAUGAUGAGAAGUUGGGCAUGGCCAGUUGCACCAAAGCAUGAGAAGGCUGUGAGAGAGGUGGUGGAGAUGGUGAAGAUAUCUUGUCCGAUGGAAGAUCAAGGUAACCAGAUCAGAUGUACCAUAGGCUUUAUUUCCUCACAACGACCAUUUAUGCAAUUUUCUAUUGACAUAUACCAUUGGGGAAAGGAAAUCUUCACAUGA
rnacentral:rRNA from 1 species